GUGUUGUCUUCCAAGACAAGGUCCUCGGAGUGGACGAGGUUCACCUCAUAUAAUGGUAAGUGGCAUGCUCUUAACAACGUCAGGGUGUGUGUAAAGUAUAUUCCUAAAAGAUGACGGUAAUGAUUUGGUAAACGCUUCACCCUGUUGCCAUUGUAACAGAUGGACUGUCGCCCCGGACGUCUCCCUUUUUAAUCUCAGUUUACAGUCUUUAAUGUUGACUAUCUAAACAAAGUCUGUGGUCGUAAGAUUGAAGUUUACAUGGACGUUGUGCGAGAUGAACGUGGGGCUGAUUGACUGGGGAUGACAGAUAAACGGCUGUGUACGGCGGCUAGAGGAGACACAUGCUGCGUCUUAAGUUAAAUUUUACACUUUGGAAAUUAGUACACUGCACUUCGACGAGACCAGCAUCGCGUCGCACUAAAAUAACAUCGAUGUUAUGGAGCUAAUAGUGCCAUACCGGUGGAGUGAUCUACACUAGAAUCACACUGAUACCGUGUAUUCAGACAGUUAAUACACCGAGUAAACCAACGAAAACACUUCUGAGACUCAUUCUUGUGCGUGAUUGUAUUCUCAAACACUUCAGUGCGGUGAGCAUUCCGAGAAACCAUCCCCAGUCAAUCGAGCCCCACGAUGAUCUCUCACAACGCACUUGCUCAAUUAUGUUGAAUUAAUUGUUCCGUUGAUGUGGAAAUAACACUAAGAAGCUAGUUUAUAUGGACUUAAUUGCUUUGUGAUUGAAGAAUAACGUACUGAUUUUCCACAGGGGGAAACGUGACAAAGGGAAGGCCUUCAGGUAUUGUUUUGGCAAGCUAGGAGAACACAUCUGACAGACAAAAAGGUUUCAUCAAAGACACACAGACAGCUCCUGAAGUAAAGGACCUACACAGGACCUUCAUAUCAAGGACAUUGACUGUGUGGAUCUCGAGGUGCAGUUACCCAAAAGUUGCUACCCACGGAAUACCAGGUUUUGAGGGAUCCUGCCAGAGCAGAGAAUCAACAGAUACAUUGAAGAGGAGACUCCGACAUGACCGCCGGCAUCUUGUGUUAUUCACCCCCACCACUUGUAAUACUGAAUGCCUGAAUUGUUGUUUGCUGCUCAGACUUUGUCAACAGAUAUGGUCUUCGACAUGUUACCCUUAGGUGUGGAAACAGAUUGUGACAGUCCAGCAAAAUGAGCCAGAUAGAUAGUAACACUGAAAAAGGACAACGUUGUUCCCAUGGCCUCCCACUGCAGAAGACUACAGACGUUCAGUGAAGCACAAACAGCUGUUCCUCUUGUACUUAAUAAUUUAGUCAGCUGGAUUCUAGGUGCCACUAAGGAGCCAACAGUGGAUAAUUUUGUCAACAUUUCAAUGGCAUACAUUAAAAGGGCAGCCUGUAAUUGUUUGCCUUGCCUCCAUCUUCCUUGCCACCAAGGGGUUGUAGACCGAUGCCCUAGUCCUCCUGUUUAGGUACAACCAUGCA